UACAGAGGUCCCAAGCGUUGUUCGGAUUCACUGGGCGUAAAGGGUGCGUAGGUGGUCGGGUAAGUCUGAUGUGAAAUCUCACGGCUCAACCGUGAAACUGCAUUGGAUACUAUUCGGCUGGAGGGUUGGAGGGGGGACUGGAAUACUUGGUGUAGCAGUGAAAUGCGUAGAUAUCAAGUGGAACACCAGUGGCGAAGGCGAGUCCCUGGACUGAUACUGACACUGAGGUGCGAAAGCGUGGGGAGCAAACAGG
rnacentral:rRNA from 1 species